rnacentral:rRNA from 1 species
AUACGGAGGGUGCAAGCGUUGUCCGGAUUUACAGGGUGUAAAGGGUGUGUAGGCGGGACUGUAAGUCAGAGGUGAAAUCCCACGGCUCAACCGUGGAACUGCCUUUGAUACUGCAGUUCUUGAGUCUCGGAGAGGUCGCUGGAAUUCGUGGUGUAGCGGUGAAAUGCGUAGAUAUCACGAGGAACACCAGAGGCGUAGGCGGGCGACUGGACGAGAACUGACGCUGAGGCACGAAAGCGUGGGGAGCAAACAGGAUUAGAUACCCCAGUAGUCC